AUUGAACGCUGGCGGCAUGCCUUACACAUGCAAGUCGAACGGUAACAGGUCUUCGGAUGCUGACGAGUGGCGAACGGGUGAGUAAUACAUCGGAACGUGCCCGAUCGUGGGGGAUAACGAAGCGAAAGCUUUGCGAAUACCGCAUAAGAUCUACGGAUGAAAGCAGGGGACCGCAAGGCCUUGCGCGAACGGAGCGGCCGAUGGCAGAUUAGGUAGUUGGUGGGAUAAAAGCUUACCAAGCCGACGAUCUGUUGCUGGUCUGAGAGGACGACCAGCCACACUGGGACUGAGACACGGCCCAGACUCCUACGGGAGGCAGCAGUGGGGAAUUUUGGACAAUGGGCGAAAGCCUGAUCCAGCCAUGCCGCGUGCAGGAUGAAGGCCUUCGGGUUGUAAACUGCUUUUGUACGGAACGAAAAGACUCUGGUUAAUACCUGGGGUCCAUGACGGUACCGUAAGAAUAAGCACCGGCUAACUACGUG
rnacentral:rRNA from 1 species